GCUGAAAUUCUACUUAAACUAUUCCUUG
rnacentral:tRNA from 1 species